rnacentral:rRNA from 1 species
CCUUCCCUCUGGCGGCGUGCCUAAUACAUGCAAGUCGAGCGGCAGGACAAUAAGAUUUUUUCUCUGCUGUUAGCGGGGGACGGGCGAGUAACGCAUACAUAACCAACUUAUAUGUCUGGGAUGACUACGGGAAGAAAGUGAUGCUACUACCUCAUAUUUUCUACGGGUUAGUUCAAAAGUUCUAGACGGCUUUGGCGUUUCUAUUAGCCGAUGUCGGAUUAGCUAGUUGGCUUGGUAAGGUAACACCAAGGCAACGAUACGUAGCUGGUCUGAGAGGAUGAUCAGCCACACUGGAACUGAGACACGGUCCAGACUCCUACGGGAGGCAGCAGUGGGGAAUAUUGGACAAUGGGCGAAAGCCUGACGGAGCAAUACCGCGUGGGUGAAGAAGGCCUUCGGAUCGUAAAGCCCUGUUGUUGGGGAAGAAAAGAUGUAGAAGAAACUGCCGAUGUCCUGACGGUACCUAAUGAGUAAGCACCGGCUAACUUCGUG